CUGGUUCUCUAGUGGCACUGCGCGUGACCACAAAGGUGAACACAUGCGUGUCGCCGCGGUCGCGCAGGCGCGUGGCGCGGUACAGCAGCGCCAUACGGCCGACGCGCCCCGCCGCUACACGCGCGCCGGCCCCGCCUGCC